AGGCAGCCCCCUUUUCUUGAAUGAAAAAAUGGAGAGGGAGGUGUUAAUCUGCUCGGAAAUAAAAUCAAAGCUUUUGCUCUUCAGAUUUGCUGAGAUUUUAACCAAUCUUUGAAGCUGGUCUAGUAAGCUCAAGUACAUU